GCGUUAAAGAUAGAAAAAUUGGAAAAAUUGAAGAUAAUAUUCCUGGCCAUUUAUUUUUUCCUCCGCCAAGAGAAGAGUGUUCGCGCGCCGUGUCAGGUGCACGGCGCGUUUGCAGCCAAUCAGCGGCUGGCUGGCUGUUUGCCACUGGUCCUUAGAGCAGGCAGCAGGUGGCAGCAGGCGAGCCAGGCGAGGCGCACCCGCACCGUAGCACUCGUAGCAGCCAAGCCAACAAAAAUAUAAACAAAACAAACAAACACCCAAAAUUUGGUUUGUGAUUUUCUUUUGCGAUUUUACAAUUAUUUUGGUAUUCUGGGCGCAUUAUACGCGAAAUAAUUUGUACGCCAUGGAAACAGAGCAACUCGCUUUUUAUCACGAAUCCCUGCGAUGCCUCAAAUUCAAGGAAAAACCAGGCUCUCCCGAGAUCGAGUCGCAACUUCAUGUUUCCGAUCAGGAAAGGGAAAUAUAAUGACGGAGGUUUUGGAGACCACUGAAAUGCAGUUCUACGAUGGCUGAAAGUAAAAUACUGAUCCUGGACGACCUCUGGACUGAUUAAUGUAUUUUUCAUCUAUAAUCCAAGACCUGACAAGCUUGUCCGCAGCUACGUACAUGUAGAAUAUCCCAAACUUUAUUUGGCAAGUGAGAUGUAAAUAAAUUUAUUUUGUUUGUAAAUCAUAAAUUAAAAUAAAAAUUAUGUUUAACUAGU